rnacentral:rRNA from 1 species
AACGAACGCUGGCGGCGUGCCUAACACAUGCAAGUCGAACGAGAAAGGGGCUUCGGCUCCCGAGUAAAGUGGCGCACGGGUGAGUAACACGUAGGUAACCUGCCUCUAAGAUUGGGAUAACUUGUCGAAAGAUGAGCUAAUACCAAAUAAGACCACGGUUUCCUCGGGGACAGGGGGUCAAAGGUAGCCUCUAUUUAUAAGCUAUCGCUGAGAGAUGGGCCUGCGUACCAUUAGCUAGUU